rnacentral:rRNA from 1 species
ACGGGAGGCAGCAGUAGGGAAUAUUGCACAAUGGGGGGAACCCUGAUGCAGCAACGCCACGUGUGGGAAGAAGCAUUUCGGUGUGUAAACCACUGUCGUGAGGGAAUAAUGCUUGGUCUCGGCCAAGUUGAAUGUACCUCGAAAGGAAGCACCGGCAAACUUCGUGCCAGCAGCCGCGGUAAUACAUAGGGAGCAAGCGUUAUCCGGAUUUACUGGGUGUAAAGGGUGCGUAGGCGGCGUGGCAAGUCAGUCGUUAAAGACCAGAGCUUAACUCUGGACCAGCGAUUGAAACUGUCAAGCUAGAGUACAGGAGAGGUUAGUGGAAUUACUAGUGUAGAGGUGGAAUUCGUAGAUAUUAGUAAGAACACCAAUGGCGAAGGCAGCUAACUGGCCUGAAACUGACGCUGAGGCACGAAAGUGUGGGGAGCAAACAGGAUUAGAUACCCUGGUA